CCCAUGUCAGGAUGAAAACUAAUUGAAAUAAAUCUGUAAAUGAUAGAAAUAAUGAAAUUAGAAUACAAGGAUGUUAAAACAAACAAUAUUGGCCGGGCGCAG